CUCGAGUAGGACUGAGUGCUUCCUUCCAGUUAGUUCUUGCAAUUGGUUUUAUGCUGGGGGGAAAAAAAAACUCCUAUGCUUCUUCUCGACAGCUAAUAAACCAAAUGACUACUGGACAACACACACAGGUUCCCAUUAGGUAACCACUAAGUCCUACUGUUCCAUGGGUCUGUAUGGCUUUUGCCUUGUUCCUC